UUCUGCUCUUCCUUCCUGGACCCAGGCUUAUAGCUCUCCUUUUCAAUCUUAUUAACAAGUAGGAAUGCUAAUCUAGUAAGAAUACAUUUAGGGGCAACAUUUACCCACUGAUAUAGCUGGACAGAAUCUCAAAAUACUCAACAGCCCGAAGGUAUCACCCUGGACAGCAGCCGGCACGGUGGCGUCAGGGGGCCGCAGCCGCUACCAGCACUGCUCUAGUGCAGGACGCGUGGCCAGAGCAGAACAAGGAAACUCAAGGAAUCCGUUCGUCUAAGUGAUCCAGUCUGCUGGCAGGAAGGCCCGUCUUUGACCGAUUCUGCGGGUGUCGCAACGCGAGAGAGGCGCAGGCUCCGUGUCUCCUGACGGGGCGGCGUGGCUUCUCUCCCUUCUCUUGCCUCCGUCUCUGUCCCGUUCAGGUCCCUGCUGUCUCCGCACCGAGCUUUGCCGGGGAUGGGGGGUGCUCUGGGCUCGGGGGCUCAGGCCUGGCCUCCGGAUUUGGAGAGCGGAACACGCAGACCCCGUCCCGCUUUGGGCUUCUGCCGUCUGACUCAUGGCCCUUCCAUUCGGACCGCGGCUGCUUUAGGCCUGUUUUCAAGGCCAUCAGGAGCCCGCGUGAUCCCCUCUGUUGCUGUCACACAAUGAUGCCAGGAGAAUUCUGCUGGACGGCUGGAGAGAGUAGGGGCCCCGAGCGCCUGGCAUCGGGAGGGGCUGGAGGACGGGUCGUGCACAGCAAACCCGCGUCCCCGAGGGAAGCGCUACGCCAACGUCCCGUGUUUUUCACACACACACUGAUCGACUGGGAAGAGGAAUUUCUCCUGGACCGUUUUUUUUUUUCUUUUCUAAGUG